rnacentral:rRNA from 1 species
UACGUAGGGUGCAAGCGUUGUCCGGGAUUAUUGGGCGUAAAGAGCUCGUAGGCGGUUUGUCGCGUCUGCUGUGAAAACUCGGGGCUUAACCCCGGGCCUGCAGUGGGUACGGGCAGACUAGAGUGCGGUAGGGGAGACUGGAAUUCCUGGUGUAGCGGUGAAAUGCGCAGAUAUCAGGAGGAACACCGGUGGCGAAGGCGGGUCUCUGGGCCGUAACUGACGCUGAGGAGCGAAAGCGUGGGGAGCGAACAGG